GCGGUCGUCGUCCAGCCUGGUCUAGGACAGUAGCCCUCCAAGCUACUAACCUGGGUUCAAAUCCCAGCGACCGCA
rnacentral:tRNA from 1 species